CGUGGGUAACCUGCCCAAGAGAUCGGGAUAACACCUGGAAACAGAUGCUAAUACCGGAUAACAACAGAUGAUGCCUAUCAACUGUUUAAAAGAUGGUUCUGCUAUCACUCUUGGAUGGACCUGCGGUGCAUUAGCUAGUUGGUAGGGUAACGGCCUACCAAGGCGAUGAUGCAUAGCCGAGUUGAGAGACUGAUCGGCCACAUUGGGACUGAGACACGGCCCAAACUACUACGGGAGGCAGCAGGG
rnacentral:rRNA from 1 species